UACUUCUCGGCCUUGAACAGUAAGAGUUUAUGUGCUGUUGUUUAACUGUCAGCACAUGAGCUUUUACGGUGCAGGGAGGCAGAGGAUAAACAACUGUUCAGUCUUUUCUCUUCUUUUUCUUUUCAUCAAUCAAAAAACAAGGACAGAGAAAACGGUGAGGAACACAAGUGCGAUGGCCGAGGAAGCAUUGAAAAGUGAAACAGUUUCCUCUCCAUAAUGUUCUGUAAGCCGUCCAUUAGUGCGCUUUGUGACGAGUGGUUAGAAAAACAAUGUGCCUGCACCACUCUGACCGUGUAAUUGCGUAUAUCAUUUUAAUCUGUCUUUUACAAAUCAGUGGUUUAAAACGGCCUUGAGUCUGCUCAGUUUUGCAGUAAACAUACAUGUCAUAGGUUCGCCACGGUGGAACUGUGCUCCAUGUGCUGACUAUUUGCCCGCAAAUCUCUGAAUUAUUUAGUUGUCUGUAUAAAAAAAAGAAUUUUUGAGAAGGAAAAAUUCUGUAUUUUUCACUUACUUUGAAGACCCCCAAGUGUGGAGGAUGUCUGAGAGUUUGGACGGCUGCCACACGUAAUCUGAGUGAGAAAUCUAUGUGUCUGUCAUGCUGAAAUCUGCAGUGAAUUUUCUUCUCCUUUUCCCCCUCUCAGUUACAAACUGUGAAAACCGGACACAGGAGAACAUGGGGAUCAUCUACAGUACAAGAGGGCAGCAUAACUCUGGAUAUCAGUGGAACUUGAGGUGGAGUGGCUCAAGGACUAUACUCUACUCUUUGUGAGUGUCAGUUUUUUUGCGAGCAAGCUGCAUGUGUGCGUGUCUGCGUGUGGGUUAGCCCACCUGUGUAGACCCAGUGUAUGGUUUAUGUCUGCCAGCAGGUCACUGCGCGGCCCACUGGGAUUUCCCGGCUGUGCUGCUUUGAAGUGAGGCUGCUCUUGUCUGAUAAACAAGAGGUCGGAACAGGUGUUGGAGCCGGCUGACUCAUCCGUUCAGCAUCCGUGCUCGCUGAUUUUAUGACUGUACCCGGGGGUCGAGCCGUAAAGAAACUCAUUAUAUCCAAUAAAAAUACAGAUGAAA